CAGCUUGAUGAUGAUGAUAUCGUGUCCUACAUCCUCACAGGAAUUGAUACUGAGUACAAUCCACUUAUUGAAGCGAUGAGUGUUAGAAUAGAUCCUAUUAGUCUAAGUGAUCUUUAUGCACAACUUUUGUCCACC